CCUACGGGGGGCUGCAGUGGGGAAUUUUGGACAAUGGGGGCAACCCUGAUCCAGCCAUGCCGCGUGAGUGAAGAAGGCCUUCGGGUUGUAAAGCUCUUUCGGCCGGGAAGAAAUCGCAUCAGCUAAUAUCUGGUGUGGAUGACGGUACCGGAAUAAGAAGCACCGGCUAACUACGUGCCAGCAGCCGCGGUAAUACGUAGGGUGCGAGCGUUAAUCGGAAUUACUGGGCGUAAAGCGUGCGCAGGCGGUUUUUUAAGAUAGGCGUGAAAUCCCCGGGCUUAACCUGGGAACUGCGCUUAUGACUGGAAGACUAGAGUACGGCAGAGGGGGGUGGAAUUCCACGUGUAGCAGUGAAAUGCGUAGAGAUGUGGAGGAACACCGAUGGCGAAGGCAGCCCCCUGGGCCGAUACUGACGCUCAUGCACGAAAGCGUGGGGAGCAAACAGGAUUAGAUACCCGGGUAGUC
rnacentral:rRNA from 1 species